rnacentral:pre_miRNA from 1 species
UCACAGCCGCAGGCUGGCCGGCCCCCCAGGCUGGGCUGGGCGAGUAUCUCUUGGAAAGGCGCCCGCUCAAGCACAACCAGGAGC